GGGGAUGUUUAUGGUUUCGACGGGGGUGUGGAAACCGGAUAAGCGAGCCGUAGUCGCCAAGUCUACGUUAAAAGUGGCCGUUUAAAUAUAAACGCUAAAAAGAACAAUAAUUUCGCACCUAUGGCUAUGGCUGCGUAGUCAGUCAUAAGCUGUGCGUGUCAGCUCCGGCUCACCUGUAGGCUGGAGACCUGGCAUCGAUCAUACAGGAAAACUUCAUGUGAAAGCCCGGCAGCAUGAGGGAACAACGGGAUAGCUGAUUUCAAAGCCUGCUUUUGGGCGUUGAGAGAGGCGAAAUCUUAAAACAUAAGCUGCGCUCGGAGAAAGUCUCGUGGAAAUGCUUUCGGACACGGGUUCGACUCCCGUCAUCUCCACCA
rnacentral:tmRNA from 2 species